AUUGUCCUUCAAGGCGGCAGGAGGGUGUGGAAAACCCACCAGUAUAGAAAUCCUCCGUGAGUCCUGGAGGACCGACUGGAGGUCCUGGGUUUAAUCAGCUGGCUGUUACUGCUCUUAGCAAGUGCUGAGAGCCGAGUGCCUGGGAACCUGCUCUUCACAGAGGAGUUGACACCAAGUUCUCAACCAGCAAGGUGAAGGAAAGGCUGGUAUUCCUGCACAGAAAGAUGCCAGAGGAGGACCUAUGACCCAAGAGGGCCUCCACAUCGAGGAGCACAGAUGUGCAGCUGUGGACCACAGAGAAGCCCUGCAUGUGUCUUCCUGGAGGCUGCUUGUGAUCUGACACUGCUGCUCAGUGAGGG